AAAAAUUGUCAAGCCCCCAAACUGAAGGUUACGAUCGGCCCGUCAGCAACCCACAUGUAACCAAACUGUCGUGUCUCAUGGCUUUUUGCCACUCCAGCUGUCAAUCAAAGCCAGGGAAUGUCAAGGUAGUGAAUGAAUGAUGGUUGAUGAUGAUGAAGAAGAGAGGAGGAAUCUUUUUAACCCGGGUUUCUUCUUCCAGUAACUCCGCGCUUGGGUUUUGCCUUUUAGGAUCGCUAUAGGGUUUUUUUAAGUACUGGGAAGGGGGGGUGGGGAGAUGCGAAGAAAAAUUGAAUAGUUUGCAAAACCCGGACUUCCCCCUCUCCCUUUUUUUUUUCCUGGUAGGUAUUUUGUCUCCCUCUCUCUCUCUUUCCCUCUCUCUCUCUGAGAUGAGUGAGUGUCAGUAAGUGUUGGCAGGUUGGCUGCUGGCUGGCUUAUAGAAGAGGCUCAGUUUUGCAGCGCUGAUCGGCGGGAGAAUGAAAUGACGGAACCCGGAAGUAGUGGUGGCCAUAGCCAGUCCUACAACAGAGACACAUAGAGGGAGAGGGGAGAGGGAGAGGGAGAGGGAGAGGGAGAGGAGAGCGCGCGAGCGAGCGAGCAUAAAGCCUAUGAUAUGCAGAGUAUGCAAUCAGGACUGCUGCAACUCCGCAUGGGGGGAGCCACACAACAGAUCAUACCCAUAGCAAAUCAACGCCGCUUUCCAUAUAGGAAAGGGAGCGUGUGUGAGAAAGAGGGAGCCACAGGAGGAAGAGAGAGAGAGAGAGAAUGUGUGAGAGAGGAGGGGAAGAGGGGAAACUGCAGAGAGCGUGAAGAAAAAAGAUCUCCUCCAAGAUUAAAGCUAGCCCUAAGAGCAACCGAUAUUCUGUGGCUGACUUUCACGGGACUGUAAAGAAAAGAUUUUGAACCCCGGUGCCACACGGAAACUAAACCCUGCAGGAAAGCUGGGGAGCUCUGAGCAGCAGAGACCCAGACGAGCCUAAACACACCUGUGAGGUCUGAAAAAAACCCAAACCACACAGCCGAGGAAAAAGGAACUGAACAGGGCUGUUUGGAUCAGAGUCGCAAAGAGGAAACAAAAGGAGCAAUAAAUAGACGUGCUGCGUAUCUCA
rnacentral:lncRNA from 1 species